GAUCCUGGCUCGGGAUGAACGCUGGCGGCGUGCUUAACACAUGCAAGUCGAACGGGAAUUACUUUAUUGAAACUUCGGUCGAUUUAAUUUAAUUCUAGUGGCGGACGGGUGAGCAACGCGUGGGUAACCUGCCUUAUACAGGGGGAUAACAGUCAGAAAUGACUGCUAAUACCGCAUAAGCGCACAGGACCGCAUGGUCUGGUGUGAAAAACUCCGGUGGUAUAAGAUGGACCCGCGUUGGAUUAGCUAGUUGGUGGGG
rnacentral:rRNA from 1 species